UUCUGAUUAGAUUUAUUCCACUCGUUGCAGAUUUCAGGAUUAUUCCACAUCUCUCUCAUGUCUUCGGGGGAAACUCUGGAGUCCCAAUACAGGCAGGCAUCAUCUGCAGCUCUCCGAUAAAGAAAAACAGGUUGUUGCCACAUUGCUUCCAAAUCCUCAGGAUCAACACAGUCAUCCCAAUAUUUGAAGCCGACCAUCGUGGCAGGACUGCUCAACAGCAUUGGAUUCGAUUACUCCAAUAUUGAUAGAAACAUCACACGGAGAACACAAAGAUGGAUGCAUCAAAGUAAAAACACUAAGGAGCAGUCUACCAUUAGGAGAAACGAAAGCAAAAGCAAAGUGUACGAGGCAAUUAGCGAUUGGAAUUACCUAAGCGCUGAAAAAAGAACAUUUUGUAUGAAUUUUGAACAAGACAAAGGAUCAAAGAACCACUCAAUGAAAUAUUCUUUAUCCAGACAAAA